UACGUAGGGGGCUAGCGUUGUCCGGAAUCAUUGGGCGUAAAGGGCGCGUAGGCGGUCACGCACGUCCGUUGUGAAAUCGCUCGGCUCAACUGGGCGGGGUCAGCGGAUACGGCGUGGCUGGAGCAAGCUAGGGGGCAAUGGAAUUCCCGGUGUAGUGGUGGAAUGCGUAGAUAUCGGGAGGAACACCAGUGGCGAAGGCGGUUGCCUGGAGCUUUGCUGACGCUGAUGCGCGAAAGCGUGGGGAGCGAGUCCGG
rnacentral:rRNA from 1 species